AAGUGGUGUUACUGUGCAGCUCAUGGCAGUCUCAACUAUGACCAUGUCAGGCAGUUUUCUUUCUGGAAGUGCUGAUGAAGGCAUCCCAAAUAUCUGAAGGGACAUUAGGAUAUAUCAAAAUUUGCUACAGCUGUGAGUGACUUUCAGGCAUUCCUGCAGAAGACAUCACCUGGACAGUGUGUAAGUGAACAGCAUUAAUGCCUCCACUCUGGAGGUACCUGUGUCAGGCUUUCUUCUGGAAAGUUCCCCUGCUGAAGUGUCAGGAGAAAGGAGCCAUGCUGCGUGUUGUCAGACUUGGAGAUGUGACAUUGUGUGAGGAGGUGGCAGUGAUGGGACAGCAUCUGAUAGCUCAGCUCUGCAGUGUGGUGGCAGCAUUCUUCUGCAAUAGAACCUGUGUGUCAGCAUUGUGAAUACAGAGCAAUGGUUCACCUACCUGGCCAGGAGAAGCAGAGCUGGCAGCACGUCAGGGAUCCCCAGAGGGUGGAGAAGGAGCCCCGUUCAUUCCCCGUGCGAGGUGAGCGCGAUCUGCUCCGGCCCCAGGUCCUGCAGUGUCACUGCCACCACAUUGGUCAUGGACAGGCACACUGGGAGGGACAAACACUCUGCAGCAGCAUUUGCAGUGAGGCAGCAGGUGCUG